rnacentral:tRNA from 1 species
AAAAUUUGUAGGUUCAAGGCCUUCCUGUCUAG